CACGCGGUAAACGAUGAAUACUAGGUGUAGGGGGUAUCAACUCCCCCUGUGCCGGAGCUAACGCAAUAAGUAUUCCGCCUGGGGAGUACGGCCGCAAGGUUGAAACUCAAAGGAAUUGACGGGGGCCCGCACAAGCAGCGGAGCAUGUGGUUUAAUUCGAAGCAACGCGAAGAACCUUACCAAGGCUUGACAUCCACUUAAACUCAUGGAAACAUGAGGUCUCUUCGGAGGAAGUGAGACAGGUGG
rnacentral:rRNA from 1 species